GGGUGCGGUUCGGCCAGUACGGCUACGAGCUGCCCGACGGCACCAACCAGACAGUCAACUACGUGGCCGAUGCCAACGGCUACCGCGUGCUGGCCGAGGGCCAGAAGUACGUCCCAGUCAGCGAGCGCGAGCUGGAGCGGCGGCGCGGUAUCCUCGAGGACAUCCAGGCCGAAGAGGAGGAGCAGGAGCCGCUUAAUCUGGACCUCACUCUCCUGGAACGCAUCGCUGACCCGGCCGAGGUGGAGCUGGAGUCGGAUCCGGCCGUGGCACUGUCGGCCGCCAAACCGCUGCAGCCGCA